rnacentral:rRNA from 1 species
UACAGAGGGUGCAAGCGUUGUUCGGAAUUACUGGGCGUAAAGCGUGCGUAGUCGGUAUUGAGAGUCACGGGUGAAAUCCCAGGGCUUAACCCUGGAACUGCCUGUGAGACCUCAGUACUAGAGUGUGAGAGGGGAUAGUGGAAUACCCAGUGUAGCGGUGAAAUGCGUAGAGAUUGGGUGGAACACCGGUGGCGAAAGCGGCUAUCUGGCUCACAACUGACGAUCAGGCACGAAAGCGUGGGGAGCAAACAGG